rnacentral:tRNA from 1 species
CAAAAUAUAGCUUAAUUAAAGCAUCUCGCUUACACCGAGAAUAUACCUGUGACACUCAGAUUAUUUUGA